rnacentral:misc_RNA from 1 species
ACUCUUCUUGCAAUUGAUCCAGCUGAACGUCAGACAGCCACAGCUGCCCUUAGAAGUGAAUUCUUCACAACAGAGCCUUAUGCCUGUGAACCUUCUAGUCUCCCAAAAUAUCCCCCAAGUAAGGAGAUGGAUGCUAAACGACGAGAUGAUGAAGCUCGAAGAUUAAGAGCAGCUGCAAAAGCCCAGGUAUAAGGCUCUGUUGUGAAGAAUUC